UGCCUUUUCUCAUCCAACAUUACCACUCCCCUAAAAAAACCUAAAAUCUUCUCCUUCACUUCACUUCUCCUCCUGUACUCCUCUUCUCUUCUCCAAUACUACUAGGCGUCUCUGCUUUCAGGUUCUCUCUCAAAACCCUAGAUCAACGAGUGCAAGUCCGUGUUCUUCACUCUCAUAUUCAUCAAUCAAGAACAUAGAAUUCAAAACCUUCUCAUUCAUGCCUUCAUUCUUCAAUCAUCUGCUCCAUUCAACCUUCAGUGAUAUGGAUUUUGAGAAUGAGAACCAGAGAGAGAAAAAGAGGAUUUGGGAGAAAGUACUCGGUUUUCUUGUGCAGCUGAUGAAAACUAUGGUGGUUCUUGUGCAGCUGAUUCUAGAAUAGUACUCGGUUUUCAAGAUUUUGUUUUUGGGGUUUUCCUAAUACUAUUCUCUGUUUUGCACAGAUCAAGGUAUUGCUUAGCUGAUGAUCGGUUUCUAGACGCUGUUAAGUUUUUGGAUUCGGGUGAUGGUGCUGGCUGGGAAUUAUUGCAUGUUCUAUUUCAUUUUAUGGAUUUGGAUGAUGUUGAAUCCUGACUUCAGGAACAGGCUAAUUGCUGAAGCUGUAUUGAAACACAGUGGCUUGCAUCUCUCAACGAUGGGAAAUACAGCUCAGCAGACUAUGCCAAAGCUUCAAGUGAGAAACUUUCAAAAAACCGUGCCCCUGGAGAGCAAAAAUCCUGGAAUCCCUUUGAAGAAGAAUCGAAUAUGAAAAGAAAAAGAUUUUUUAUUAUUAAACUUCUUCAAGGUGUUUUAUCUGGUUUGGCAUACAUGCAUGACAAUGAAAGAUUCAGAGCCUUGGCCCAUCUUAAGUCGUUCUCAACAGCUGUAUAUACAACACCCAGCCAGUUUUACGGCCGAAAAAACAGAAUCUAAAAACUCAUUUUUGGCUUUCCCGCUAACCCUCUUCGGGGGAACCACUGCAAUUAAAACAAAAUAAUUAGUAACAACAUUUAUAAUAUAUAAAAUAUAAGGACUACAAUAUAAUUUAGUAAAAGACUUACCGUCAGUCUCGUGCGUGCCACGAAAAUGACCACCAGGAGGCGAUGGAUCACCAGCGCCGUCACCCCCAUGUCCCCAUGGGGCCACAUCCGCCAUCAGAUAUGCGAAUAUAAGCAAUACCGAAAACAUAAUCCCUAUAAAGUUACAAAUGUUACAACAUGUGUAUCUAAUAGAAAUUAAGGGAAAGUACAACAAGUGUAACUCAAAUUCCCAUACAUACUUACAAACACAUAUUUUGAUUAAAACCACAAAAUUUAUACAUACAUAUUUGCAUAUUUUAUACAAACAUACAUACUAACAUACACAUUUUUCACCAAUUGCAAACAUUUACAUGCACAAUUAUUCAUCAUUUACAUACACCUACAUACAUACAUUCAAUCAUAGACUUACAUACCCGCAUACAUGCUUACAUACACCUACAUACACAAAUACAUACACCUACAUACACAAAUACAUACACCUACACCUACAUAUACUCAUUUUCACCAAUUACACCUACAUUAUACAUUUUCACUAACAUUUACAUACAAAUAUACAUCCUUACAUAUACAUUUACAUAACUAAACAAAAAAUUAUACAAUUUCUAAAUUUUGAAAAAAUUCAUAUAAAACUAACCGUAAUUUCAAGCUUUCAAGUAGAUGUCGACCACGGAGACGAGGUGGUGACCGGAGAAGUGAUGGUGGUGACCGGAGAGGUGAUGGUGGUGAUCCAAAUUUUCUUCCAUAAACAUAAAUAUACCCAAAAACGAGCAAAAAUUAAAGUCUAUAACAUGUAAAUAACAAAAUAGAGAAGAGAUUUAACAAAAAAAUAAGUUAAACUAACCGAUUUGGUGAAAAUAUGUGGUUCUCCGG